CGCACCUUGCGCCCUCUGGUAUUCCGGAGGGCAUGCCUGUCUGAGUGUCAUGAACACCUCAACCCCUGGUUUUUAUCGACCAUGGGCUUGGAUCUGGGCGCUUGCCUGUAACCCUGGCUCGCCUGAAAAGAGUUAGCGACCCCAGCUUGGGAUGAGACGUAAUAAGUUUCGCCUCGCUCCCUGUGCAAAGGGCCGCUCCCAACCCCCCAUACUUUGACAUCUGACCUCAGAUCAGGUAGGACUACCCGCUGAACUUAA
rnacentral:misc_RNA from 1 species